rnacentral:rRNA from 1 species
UACGGAGGGAGCUAGCGUUGUUCGGAAUUACUGGGCGUAAAGCGCACGUAGGCGGCUUUGUAAGUUAGAGGUGAAAGCCCGGGGCUCAACCCCGGAAUUGCCUUUAAGACUGCAUCGCUUGAAUCCGGGAGAGGUGAGUGGAAUUCCGAGUGUAGAGGUGAAAUUCGUAGAUAUUCGGAAGAACACCGGUGGCGAAGGCGGGUCUCUGGGCCGAUACUGACGCUGAGGAGCGAAAGCAUGGGGAGCGAACAGG